rnacentral:rRNA from 1 species
GACUGGGGCGGUCGCCUCCUAAAGAGUAACGGAGGCGCUCAAAGGUUCCCUCAGAAUGGUUGGAAAUCAUUCAUAGAGUGUAAAGGCAUAAGGGAGCUUGACUGCGAGACCUACAAGUCGAGCAGGGUCGAAAGACGGACUUAGUGAUCCGGUGGUUCCGCAUGGAAGGGCCAUCGCUCAACGGAUAAAAGCUACCCCGGGGAUAACAGGCUUAUCUCCCCCAAGAGUUCACAUCGACGGGGAGGUUUGGCACCUCGAUGUCGGCUCAUCGCAUCCUGGGGCUGUAGUCGGUCCCAAGGGUUGGGCUGUUCGCCCAUUAAAGCGGUACGCGAGCUGGGUUCAGAACGUCGUGAGACAGUUCGGUCCCUAUCCGUCGUGGGCGUAGGAAAUUUGAGAGGAGCUGUCCUUAGUACGAGAGGACCGGGAUGGACAUACCUCUGGUGUACCAGUUGUCGUGCCAACGGCAUAGCUGGGUAGCUAUGUAUGGACGGGAUAAGUGCUGAAAGCAUCUAAGCAUGAAGCCCCCCUCGAGAUGAGAUUUCCCAACUUCGGUUAUAAGAUCCCUCAAAGAUGAUGAGGUGAAU